UACGUAGGGUGCAAGCGUUAAUCGGAAUUACUGGGCGUAAAGCGUGCGCAGGCGGUUCGGAAAGAAAGAUGUGAAAUCCCAGGGCUUAACCUUGGAACUGCAUUUUUAACUACCGGGCUAGAGUGUGUCAGAGGGAGGUGGAAUUCCGCGUGUAGCAGUGAAAUGCGUAGAUAUGCGGAGGAACACCGAUGGCGAAGGCAGCCUCCUGGGAUAACACUGACGCUCAUGCACGACAGCGUGGGUAUCAACCC
rnacentral:rRNA from 1 species